GACGAACGCUGGCGGCGUGCUUAACACAUGCAAGUCGAACGGAAAGGCCCUGCUUUUGUGGCGUGCUCGAGUGGCGAACGUGUGAGUAACACGUUAGUAACCUCCCCUUGACUUUGGGAUGACUUCAGGAAACUGGGGCUAAUACCGGAUAGCAGCUCCUGCUGCAUGGUGGGGGUUGGAAAGUUUCGGCGGUUGGGGAUGGACUCGCGGCUUAUCAGCUUGUUGGUGGGGUAGUGGCUUACCAAGGCUUUGACGGGUAGCCGGCCUGAGAGGGUGACCGGCCACAUUGGGACUGAGAUACGGCCCAGACUCCUACGGGAGGCAGCAGUGGGGAAUAUUGCACAAUGGGCGGAAGCCUGAUGCAGCAACGCCGCGUGCGGGAUGACGGCCUUCGGGUUGUAAACCGCUUUCGCCUGUGACGAAGCGUGAGUGACGGUAAUGGGUAAAGAAGCACCGGCUAACUACGUG
rnacentral:rRNA from 1 species